UUUAUACUUCUAAACGUUGAACCGUGUUCCACAUAUGAUCGCUCCAUCUAUAAAAUAGGUGAUAGAUAUUGCAUAAUGUGUUGGCCUGGACAUCAUGUACGUAGUCAUUGUACUAAAUCUACAUAUACACCUUCCUGUAUGCUCUGUAUUGACUCCACGUUCCUUGAUGAGCCCAGUGGUAAAACAACAUGCAACGACUGUACCACAUGUGAUCCAGGUUUGGGUUUGAAGGUAAAGCAGCCAUGUACACCUUCAUCAGACACUGUCUGUGGGACACUGGAGGGGUUCUACUGUCUAGACCCAACUAAGGAUGGUUGUAGAGCAGCCCAGAGACACAGCAGCUGUAAACCUAGUCAAUACAUCAGCCACACAGGUUGGUCUUCUGUCUCACUCAUUAUACUAAUUGUGUUGUCAUAAUUCAAUUCAGUCAAGUUGUUAAUUUCAGUGUGAACAAUCAUUACAGUUAAUGGAAUUAAAUAAAUGGGGGAAGAAAUGAAUUUU